rnacentral:rRNA from 1 species
UACGUAGGGUGCGAGCGUUACUCGGAAUUACUGGGCGUAAAGCGUGCGUAGGCGGUUCCUCAAGUCCGUUGUGAAAGCCCCGGGCUCAACCUGGGAAUGGCAGUGGAAACUAGGGGACUGGAAUCUGGCAGAGGGGGGUGGAAUGCCGCGUGUAGCAGUGAAAUGCGUAGAGAUGCGGCGGAACACCGAUGGCGAAGGCAGCCCCCUGGGCUGAGAUUGACGCUCAGGCACGAAAGCGUGGGGAGCAAACAGG